ensembl:lncRNA
AAACUGGGUCUAAACCGGGACUAAACCAGGACUAAACCUGGACUAAACCAGGACUAAACCAUGACUAAACCAGGACUAAACCAGGACUAAACCAGGACUAAACCGGGACUAAACCAGGUCUAAACCGGGACUAAACCAGGACUAAACCUGGACUAAACCAGGACUAAACCAUGACUAAACCAGGACUAAACCAGGACUAAACCAGGACUAAACCAGGACUAAACCAGGACUGAACCAGGACUGAACCAGGACUAAA